rnacentral:other from 1 species
GCAGUACUGCGAGGCCCGUGACUGUGGCGCUAUUUUUGAGCUAACACUGUUGCACUGAGGGUCCGAUUGUUAUUCCGGUGUGCAUGCUCUCAAGGACUGCGGCCGGGUUCCUUUGCAGAGAAGCCUAAAGGAAUACUUUGGACCACAACCCGUAACUUACGGGUUCAGAAAUAGCUCGCACACGACCAAGCGGUCUGCU